rnacentral:rRNA from 1 species
AUUGAACGCUGGCGGCAUGCCUUACACAUGCAAGUCGAACGGCAGCACGGGAGCUUGCUCCUGGUGGCGAGUGGCGAACGGGUGAGUAAUACAUCGGAACGUACCCUGAAGUGGGGGAGUAACGUAGCGAAAGUUACGCUAAUACCGCAUAUUCUGUGAGCAGGAAAGAGGGGGAGUCGCAAGACCUCUUGCUUUAGGAGCGGCCGAUGUCGGAUUAGCUAGUUGGUGAGGUAAAGGCUCACCAAGGCGACGAUCCGUAGCGGGUCUGAGAGGAUGAUCCGCCACACUGGGACUGAGACACGGCCCAGACUCCUACGGGGAGGCAGCAGUGGGGGAAUUUUGGACAAUGGGGCGCAAGCCUGAUCCAGCCAUGCCGCGUGAGUGAAGAAGGGCCUU